AGAAACACUUGCGUUACAGUGUGUGUAUUCACACACACACAUGUGGCGCUCGCACGGUCGAGUCUCAUUGGCGGGCCAACGUCUCUGGGCGGGCCAGGCAGAGUAAGGGGAGGAGCUGAGAUUCCUGAUGACGUCAUGAGCACAGACAUGCCAAAUCAGCGCGCUUGAGCCUCCAUUUUUUCGAAGGCGAGCAGAACAGCUAGUGCUAGUUUUACACCAAACGCAAGUUUUAGCCACUGGGGGACCAUAGGCAGGCUAGGGGAACUCAUAUUUAUGUUAGAAAACCUCCAAAAGUGAGAUUUUCAUGUCAUGGGACCUUUAAGCAAAUCAAGGAUGUCAGAGGGCGUAGUAAAAGAGAUAGAAGUCUGGCAGCAACAAGUAUGGGGAGACCAUCUACUCAUUUACACUGAUGGGUCAAAGGAGCAUGAGAGUGGUAAAGUAGCAGUGGGUAUUAGCAUUCCUGAAAUCGGGUACAGAAUAGGGUAUAGAAUCUCAGAUCAUAUGUCAGUAUUCACAGCAGAGAUUGUGGCAGUCUUAUGGGCCUUACGAUGGGUGCAGGAUAAUAAACAGGGGUAUUCAAUAAUAUGUAGUGAUUCAGCUGCAGCUUUAAUUUCAAUAAAAAAAGGAAAAUCCAAGUCCAGACCGGAUUUAAUUGUGGAUAUUCUACAGUCUCUGUUCAGAAUUUACAAGGCGGGGAGGAGGUGGGGUUUCUCUGGGUGCCGGCUCAUGUGGGUGUGAAAGGGAACGAGGAGGCGGAUGAGGAGGCAAAGAAGGCGGUGAAGGAGGAAACAGUGAAAAAUUCAUUUGCAAUAUGGGGCACCCGAGUACAUGGAAAAAAUAAACAGGGCUCUAAAAGAAAGGUGGCAAAAUUCUUGGGAGAAGGAAGGGAAGGGCGUACUUUUCAAUACAGGAAAAUGUAAAUAAAGAUAGGUGCACUUUUGGGUGCAUAAGAAAAGAUGAUGUAGCAAUCACAAGACUGAGGCUUAGAAACUGUGGGCUGAGGAGUGGGCUGGCUCUGAUUGGCAAACACCCAGAUGGCAGGUGUGAGUGUGGAGAAAGAGAGACUGUAAAACAUGUACUUCUCCAGUGUGGGCGCUAUUCCAGGCAACGGAGGACUCUGUACCGGAGGCUUGGAUCAGAUGGAGAAUCAGUUUUUAGUAUGCGCACCCAUUUAAAUCUGGAUUCAGUGGAUAAAACAAAGGAAUUGAUGGACUACCUUAACAUCAUUGGAGAGGAUUUAAAGUUUAGGGGGAAAUAACAAACAGUGGGGGGCAGUAAUACGCCAUAGCUGCGUCAAGAUUGCCUAAAUAAAAGAAGAAGAAGAAGAAGUUAAGGCGGCUGCAUGCUUCAGCGUUGGUGUUACGUUGUUGCGCAAAAUUUACUCAAAGCAAUUCAUGCUCCCUUUUAGGUUGCGCGUGUUGCGCGUGUUGCCAAGCAAUUUACCGCCAGAACAGUAGGUGGAGUAAUAUGUGGAGGAAAGUUUUUCGUUGAAGACGACCUCGAGAAUGACGUCUUUGUCUGUGGGAGUCGUUGGUUUGUUUAUGUGCCAGAUCGUGUUCUCCCCAUACACAGUGAAUGAUGGCAACAGACAGAGGAACAGGGGUGAUGAAGUUGUUGAUCAUUGGGGUUGUAUAAAUGUGCAUAUCUCUCUACAUUUUAAAACGACAUAAUGUGUUGGCAGCAAAGUUAACUUCACUUCAGGUUAAUGCUUUUGUAUAUGAGCCUGCCGGGUGAUACUCCAGACAGGAAGUAGUAACCAGACCAGCAAACCAAUCACAGCCUUGCAGGCUGGGCGGCUCGCGUAAAAGCUUACGUAAAAAAUGACGCAAGUCUAGAAAAAUCGCCCGACGCACGCAAGACGUGAGAAGUCGCGCAAGGGGGGCGCAAGGGCGCGCAAGGGCCUCUUGCGCUUGCGCUUACGCUUACGUAACCGAGCAUAAACCAGCCUUAACGCCUCCUACUACAAGUUACGCCCACAACAAGUUACGCCUCCGUCUUGCAGGACGCAGACAGACCCUACUCUACGAUCGUGUACACGUAGUUCUUUCCUUGAGAGACACCAUGGCUCGCAAACGAGCGAAGCAUAGCAGUUGCUUAGUGUUUGGAUGUACAAAUGAACACGAAAGUCUAUAUUUUGUUCCUUCCUCCGAGCCUCUGAAGAACCAGUGGGUUAAUUUCAUUGUCUCUGGAAAUGCGCCAGUCUGCGCCAAACAUUUCACUGACGACUGCUUCCUUAACUUGGGCCAAUACAGAGCUGGACUUGCUCAACGUCUGAGAAUCAAGUCUGGAUCAGUACCAACUCUCCAUGGCUCAGCUACAAACCUCGGACAAGCCAGCUCAUCAAAUGCUUACAUUCAGCAGCUUCUCUCAAGGGAUGUUGCCUGCCAGACAGACCACCUGGAAACACGUACUGUAGGCACACAGCUAUCCUUAAAGACUUCGCAGCCCCAUUUUAAAAGUGAAGAAGACUGCGAUGCCUUUGGAGACCGUAGCACUCAGCGCGGCGCCACCUCAGAGAUUCUGGGUGUGGA